UCUAAACUAUUGCACAUUUUUCAAACCUAAAUUUUCACCAUCAUGAUUAAAAAGUGAAGCAUCUUUGAAAAAAUAAUCUUGCUCCAUAAGGUCAAAAUAUUUUCCAACACAGAAAAAAAUUCUGGAAGGAAAUACAUAGAUUAAGGAUGACUUUCUUUAGUUUUUUUCCUAUUUUCCAAUAUUUUACAGGGAACAUUAUACUUUUAUAAUCGGGGAAAAAUACCUUCACUAGAAUUUUUUUCCACCAGGAAAUGGAUUAGAAUUGAGCUGUGCUGUUAUAAUAGAUUCAAUUAGCCUUUCAACUGUCACCAAGUUAUUAUUGCAGUGGGACCUGCAGCUGAGAGUCCUGACUGUUAGAAGGAAAACUAACAAACAGGAAGGACAUCCACACCAAAACCCCGUCUGUACAUCCCAUCAAAAUCAAAAAGUGGGCGAAGGAUAUGAACAGACACUUCUCAAAAGAAGACAUUUAUGUAGCCAACAGACACAUGGAAAAAUGUUCAUCAUCACUGGCCAUCAGAGAAAGGCAAAUCAAAACCACAAUGAGAUAUCAUCUCACACCAGUUAGAAUGGCAAUAAUUAAAAAGUCAGGAAACAACACAUGCUGGAGAGGAUGUGGAGAAAUAGGAACACUUUUACACUGUUGAUGGGACUAUAAACUAGUUCAACCAUUGUGGAAGUCAGUGUGGUGAUUCCUCAAGGAUCUAGAACUAGAAAUACCAU
rnacentral:lncRNA from 10 species